GAACCUGCGGAGGGAUCAUUACCGAGUUUACAACUCCCAAACCCAAUGUGAACGUUACCAAACUGUUGCCUCGGCGGGAUCUCUGCCCCGGGUGCGUCGCAGCCCCGGACCAAGGCGCCCGCCGGAGGACCAACCAAAACUCUUAUUGUAUACCCCCUCGCGGGUUUUUUACUAUCUGAGCCAUCUCGGCGCCCCUCGUGGGCGUUUCGAAAAUGAAUCAAAACUUUCAACAACGGAUCUCUUGGUUCUGGCAUCGAUGAAGAACGCAGCGAAAUGCGAUAAGUAAUGUGAAUUGCAGAAUUCAGUGAAUCAUCGAAUCUUUGAACGCACAUUGCGCCCGCCAGUAUUCUGGCGGGCAUGCCUGUCCGAGCGUCAUUUCAACCCUCGAACCCCUCCGGGGGGUCGGCGUUGGGGAUCGGCCCUUUACGGGGCCGGCCCCGAAAUACAGUGGCGGUCUCGCCGCAGCCUCUCCUGCGCAGUAGUUUGCACACUCGCAUCGGGAGCGCGGCGCGUCCACAGCCGUUAAACACCCCAAACUUCUGAAAUGUUGACCUCGGAUCAGGUAGGAAUACCCGCUGAACUUAAGCAUAUCA
rnacentral:rRNA from 1 species